UGUUAGCUCAGGGCUAAUCUCCCUCAAAAGAAAAAAAAGAAGAAGAAAGCAAAAUGCAUAGAAUUACCAGGUCACUAUCAUAUUGGGUGUCACAUUAACUCUUUUUGCAAAAAGGCUCAGUUGAUCAAUUCCCAGGUUCCAAAUAUCCUAAAAGCUAGGCCCCAGGGCCACGAGAGUAUCUGCCUCUCUCAAGGCAGGGAACAGCCCAAGAACCCUACUGCUUCAUGGAGCUUUCAGAGGUUCAAAGCCCUCUCACUCAGAAGAGAACACAAGGCCUGCCCAACAGGCCUGGGGUUCCUGCAAAUUCUGUAGCCAGAGAGGAGGCUGCUGGCGCUCCCCAGCUUCUCUCACGCCUUCCCUCUCUGCUAGGCUCAGCUAUAAAUAGCUUGCUGGUUUCCAGUCGGGGAUCUCCCAGCCCUGCAAGGAACAAGUACCGCCUUCUCACCCUGUGCUGCCCUCAGCCUGGAGCAGAAGAGGGUGGUGGCUGGCAGGGGGAAGGAGAGGAGGGGAGGGCAGGAACCAGCACCAGAGAGAAGCUGUCCUCUGGACUACAUUACCCACAAUGCUAGAUCAUAGCUGGGAAGAGGAAGCUGCUGAGGGACCUCAGCCUGAGGUGGGAAAACCAGGCCUUGGGUGUGCAGCCCAGGGCCUGAGACCCAGUUUUUUCCAAAAUCUAACCCCUAAACCUUCAGUCCUGGACCUUAGAGAUCAUCUCCUCUCCAUGCACCCAAAUCAGGCACUCAGCUGACCUGGGGCCAGGGAGACCAACAAAGCUCCUUAUCUUUUGGCCUUAUUCACAGUCUGUAUGUGUACACGACCAAAGACUAAAAGCCUAUGACUGAUUUUAUUCUGGAUCAAGCCCAGAGGCUGCUUGGCACUUGAAGCCCCUUCCCUGGCAUGUUCCCCAACUCAGUCCCAAAGCUCUGAGCUUCUCUUUCCCUGCCUCACCUGAGGCAGAACAAUCAAGGGCCACAGGUUGGUCCAGCAGAAAGCCUGUACUCUGGAUGACAUGGUGCCCUUCUGGAAGAGCUGGGGGAUGGAACUUUGGGAACUGGUGACAGUCUGGUCUCUGCUGAGGUCUGGUCCCUCUCUCUGACCUUUGCUCAUCUCCCAGCAGAUAGCUCAGGGUAACCACAUGGCUGGGCCAGGUUUAAGUUUCUCAGAGGCACUGUAGGGAGGGCCUGUGGGGGCUUGCUGGUUCUUGCAGUGAAUAACCAGAGUUGUCAGGCUGAGCAAAGGAGGCCAUUCCGGGUGGUGGGGGCACCCAGUGUGCACUACUCCAUACCUCAGCCCCACUGCAGGUGGUAUACCUGCCCCAGCUCUGGCUCCCCAUACCCCAUCUCUCCAACUUUCCCUACAGAGUCAAACUAUUCAUGUAGAGUUCUGGGGCUCAUGAACCUCCAGACCACAAGAAGCAAGCAGGUGAAGACGUUAGGGGCGGGACCUAAAGUCAGGGACUCCUAUCCAAGGUGAAAAGGCACCAAUGACUGGCCUGAAAACAAAGUCCUUUCCCUCUUUCCCCUGGGUCAGAUGUAAUAACAACUCUAGCUUACUAAGCUAGGCAGCAGGAAUGCAAAGAUGAGUAAGAUCAAAUCGUAGUCCUAAUAAAUAAAUGAUGUAUAAUACUGUGUUAAGUUCAUAAUGGGCCUAUGGGGUGGGGUGGGAAGGAUUUGCAGAUAGCCAGAUGUCUGAACCAAGUAAAGGAUGAGAGGCGUUCUACCAGAAUGGUGUGGGAAGGGCAUUCCAGGCAAAGGCGACAGCUUGAGUAGAGGCAGGGAGGGGCAAGAAACUGCAAGAGGGACGAAGGGAGAGAGAGACACCAAAGACCAACUUGCAAAAUGCCAGGAGAGGAGCGGUAGGCCCUCACACCACGCUCGCAGUUUGGGCUUCAGCCCCAGGGCUGGGAGCCGCGGAACGAUCUCCAGCAAGGUGGAGAUAGGCUGAGACCACAGAAAAUCUGCCUGCGUCUACACUUUCCUAGUGCUCACCACACAGAUGAAAACCUGGCUGGGAUCGUUCAUUUGGUUCAGUUCCGACUCGCCACCAGAGUAUUUUUAGGGCCUGGACAGAUGGGCCUGGGUAACAUGGGGCCCUGUGUCUUAGAGCUCUGGCUGUCUCCAAUCCAGAUUCCCGAGGCAGGAAGAAGCCUUGAGAGGUCUUCCUUACCCUCCCCAUGCUUGAGAAUCCCCUAAGAGAUGCAAAGAUGUCUAAAUUGAACAGCCCGAAGGAGGUCUCCUUAAGACUCAGAGGAGGUGCUUCUCGGAGAAGAGGGUGGAGAGCCCAGCAAUUUCAAUCAGGGAGACGAGAUGGCAGCCUCUCCAGCCUGUUGGGCUUCCAGCAGCCUUUCCCAGAGGCUCCUCUGCACUGUUACGGGAGCAGAUUCCAUCGUCCCACCCCCACAGCCCUGCUUGGAAUCUUGAGUCAGAGGAAAGGUUCCACUUCACUUUCCCUGGAACGGCAAGUCAAGGAUGCAGCAGUCUAACUGGAGAGGAGAGGAGCUGGAAAGUG